rnacentral:rRNA from 1 species
UACAGAGGGGGCAAGCGUUAUUCGGAAUUAUUGGGCGUAAAGGGCGCGUAGGCGGCUUUGCAAGUGAUCGGGUGAAAUCCCUCGGCUUAACCGAGGAACUGCCUGUCAAACUGCAUGGCUUGAGACCGGGAGAGGUGAGUGGAAUUCCCAGUGUAGCGGUGAAAUGCGUAGAUAUUGGGAGGAACACCAGUGGCGAAGGCGGCUCACUGGACCGGAACUGACGCUGAGACGCGGAAAAGCGUGGGGAGCGAAACAGG